CAGAAGAGUUGCAGUCAUGCCUGAAGCUGUUCCUCUACCAAUUUUGAGAUUAAAUCAUUACAGAAGAUCAGUUCUUCUAUGAAAUUUAAUCAACAAUGAACUUCUACAAUGUUUCUUGAAGGAUCAAAAGUUCUGCAAGGACAGAAAACUGGCCCAGUUUGUGCAGAAAAAAGGCUCAACUUGGACAUGGUGAGCAGAUUGUCCAAAAUCCCUGACAACAUGUGAGGAGGUGACCUUGUGAUCCAACACUAAGAUGCAAUGAAGACAUGUAACUAGGACUGGAGCAUCAACUUCCAACAAGAGCUUCUUGAUUUCUUUUGAGCACCCCAUUUAGUGGGCUUUCAGAUGUAUCAAGUUGAGAAGCACCUGGCAAUGAUAGCAACAUGAUGUUUGAAACUUGGUGAAUCAAAGGUGCAUACAUAUUAAAAGCAUGGUUCUGUAUAUAAAAAUGCAAAACAAUGUAAAUGAUUAUUAGAAGGA